ensembl:lncRNA
AUUCUUCCUCCCUCCUCUUACCCCCAUCCCCCCUGACCCCCCCCCCCCCCCCCCCACCCCCCACCUUCCUUCUGUCUCUGUCAUGCACCGAGGACUGGAGUGGGUAGAAGAAAAACAUCAAAUAAAAGUAAUCCCUUUGGGAGCUGAACCGCAGGUAUUCUUCGCCAUAUUUAACCUGCCAUUUAAUUAUUUAUUUAUUUUUGUGCUAAUAAAAGCGGCCACGUUCAAACGAGACCUGCGUCCAGGCGCAUUAAGGAAAUCUGGCUCGUAGAAACGCGUCUGUUCAGAUCGCAGGCCGUCUUAAUGGGAUCUCAUGAAGUGUUGAGAAGAAGCGAGGAAGGGUGCUACGCGAGAGCGUAGUCCGGAACGGUUCCAAAUACACGGCUAGAGUAAAGAGGACGGGGACGUGGACUCUUUACUCUUUACUCAGUCUAGCCGUGUGUUUCGAAGACGGCCGUUCCAGGUGAGACGAAGUUGUAAGCGGACGUCAGAAGUCUGACUUAACGAGCACAGUUGGACGGAAGGCUCGUCGGCGUUUGAACCAUGAAGUUCACGGCGCCUCCGAGCGCCGGCGCGCCGUCGUCCUGGUUCAUCUAGUUCAUCGACGUCUGGUUUCAUUUCAGUGGAAACACGAUUCAGCCCCGUGUCAUUCCCAAACGCGGGACGUGCAGCGACCUCUCCGUGUGUGUCUGCGUCCCGGAUCGCUGCAGAAACUCCGACGUGCGCCUGAUAUCUGGGCCACAAACAAACAAAUAAAUAAAUAAAUAAAGCGAAACAUUAAUGAAUGAAUGCUGGAUUCAGUUCACAAAGGAACAGGUUUUUCCACAGGAUUUAUUCGCGUUAAUAUUUAAUAAGGCGUUUAUUGUUUAGCACCGGCUCCGUGUUCCGUGUGCUUGGUUGCGUUUUCGUGAUUUCCUCACACACUUGCAAGAGGUUUAUUUACAUUUCUUACCAACGUAUUUCAUGACCAACAAAUGAACGACUUUUGUGAGGGCUUUGGAGAAUUCCAGCCCCGCCCCCUUUCCUCACACCGAAAAAAUAUCAUUUGCACUCUUGAUUGAUUGAUUGAUACAAACAAACUAAUAAGUGAGUAAACAUCCAUAAACCAGUCAUAAUAAUCCCGGUGAAGGAGGCGUGGCCUGUGUGCUUUCAGUCCCAGUGGAGGAGGUGUGGCCUCUGCGUUUCAGUCCCAGUGGCGGAGGUGUGGGCCUUUGCGCUUCAGUCCCAGUGGCGGAGGUGUGGCCUUUGCACUUCAGGUACAGUAGCGGAGGUGUGGCCUCUGCGCUUCGGUCCCAGUGGCAUAGGUGUGGCCUCUGCGCUUCAGGUACAGUGGCGGAGGUGUGGCCUCUGCGCUUCAGUCCCAGUGAAGGAGGUGUGGCCUCUGCGCUUCAGUCCCAGUGAAGGAGCUUCAGUCCCAGUGAAGGAGGUGUGGCCUCUGCGCUUCAGUCCCAGUGAAGGAGGUGUGGCCUCUGCGCUUCGGUCCCAGUAGCGGAGGUGUGGCCUCUGCGCUUCAGUCCCAGUGAAGGAGGUGUGGCCUCUGCACUUCAGUCCCAGUGAAGGAGGUGUGGCCUCUGCGCUUCAGUCCCAGUGACGGAGGUGUGGCCUCCAGCACUGAAUUAUUUUGUAUUACAUCGAGCCAGCGGUGUUUCAUAUUGAAUCAUUGGCUCUGUAAACGUAUCUUUCCUGCUUCCACGAUCACGCAUCAAGAGGCACGUUGUAAGAACUCUGAUUAAGAGCGCGUACGAUCUGGAGUCGUAAAUGAAACCAUAAACAAAACCCCCUCAUCAUCGUCCACGCACUUCUUCCCAAGUAGUGCUCCCCAUCGGGCAAUUCCUGUAAGGUCAGGUAUGAAACGAGCAGCGAGUUAGAUGGACGUGCAACGUUCUCUCAACGUUCUCUCAACGUUCUCUCAACGUUCUCUCAACGUUCUCGCUUCAGGUGUCGUGACCGGUGCGCACAUUUCAAAUGCACGUUCAAACCUGACUGCCGGAUUCGUGUUCGUGUCUGGAUGCGGUUGUGCACUGUAACUCUAAAGGAAGAGUUUAAAUAAUCAGAGGAUGCCCCCCCCACCCCCCGG